CACACCACACCUCUUCUGCGCACAAAUGCAGCAUUACGAGCACGCCUCUCAGAGCGGGGGGGUGGUGAGGGUGUGAUAGAUUUGGGGAGUGCGGGCCCCGGCAACAGGAACCUCCCUUCGAUCAGGCCAUCUGCCUGCGCUUGGGUGCCACCACACGCCUCAGGGACAGCACUGCCCCUACAGGGUAGGGGUGCGGGGAUGAAGCCACUCAAAAUGCCCCGUCAGCUGAACGCUGUGUUCACCAGAGAGUAGUGGGAUACGAUGCGAUUGAGUCUCUGCACAGAUUCAUCUAACAUGGCUGCCACAGGCUGUGCUUUGGGAGUGUGUGUGUGUGUAUGUGUGUGUGUGCGCACACUGAAAAAACUUGUGCACUAAAAUCCGUGCAGCUUCUACUUUCGGGCCGGGCGGUUCUGUUUCUCUCCCGGACUGGUCUCGGCGCUGGCGGAGAAUCUGGAGGACCCGAGGCCAGGCUCCACACGUGCUCUCGGCUGUUAAGGCACUGCAGGCAAAGCAAUAACCUCCACAAAAUGGCCACAAGUAAAAUAACUCAAAUGAUUGUGAAUUUCCUCUCUGAAUUGUCUGAGCCAUACAAUGCAAAGGGCACACCGGCUCUGGAAUGAGGAAGAACCUGACCAAUGAAAUGCUUUGUUAAAACGUCACAUCUCGCCACACAUUUUUCACCAAUUGCAUUUUAUUUUUAGGGGAAACUGGUUAACUAUACAUGCAUAAUAUGUUGCAUUGCAUACAUCUGGUGCAUCUUUAUAUGUGCUUUUCAAAUUCUCUCCAGGGUAUCUCCGAUUUCACACUGGGCUCAUUUCAUUGUCUCUGCUCUACAAUAUCUGGGCUGUUUGCGCCCCAUCCAUUUCGAGCGUCUAACCUUGCUGUGUAUCCUGUUAUGGUGCACUACAGAGGGCUCAUCUGAGGACACAGUUUUGGUUUCAAGUUGUAAGCCAAUGCUUCACAGCCUGUACCAGCAAGAUGGCCCUCUUGCUCUCGAGGACUGGCUCACAUUAAUCCAUGCUCUUUUGCUUGCUAUGACAGCGCAGCUCAAUGUUUAAAUGAUUCCAACAAGCUAAAUGUAUUUUAUAAGCACAACCAUACAAACAGCAUAGCAAUUAUGAAUAAGGCAGGGGGCAUUGAUGUGUGGAUAAAAACAACAUAGUCCAAUAAUAAAUACAAUAGGAAAGUGCAGAAUUCAUACAUGUGAGUUAGAACAUGUCUAUAGGUGCACACAGAUUUUUAUGUGACAAGAAAAUCUUCCUGCGACGGCAGUCAUUGCAUAAGGCAGAAGAGUGGACAUAUUGUUAACUGGUAAAACCAUGUGAAUUCUAAACUGACUUUGAAUCCUCUAAAUAGACAUAGCAAAAGAAAUCUGAUGUAAGAGAAAGAAAUAGGCUCGCCCGAGAGAUAUGGGGUUGAUAGAGAGCCCCUGUUCCUUGUUCCCGUCUGUCCAUGUCAGUUCAUUCUUAUGGAAGCUCAGAUAUAAAACAAAAUGGCUACCCUCAUCAUGUGUCAGGCACGCACUGCAUAAGCACAUACUGCAUAACCAUGUAUUUAUGCUAUAAAACAUGCAAACCCAUUAUGAAUUAAAUUGCAUUCUAUGCCCAGAUUUCUAUCAUUUGUUGUUUUGCUUUUUUACUUAUCAUAUGAAGAUAUUGUGAAAUACAUUAAGGUGCACUAUAACAGUAACUAUGAAUAUUGGGAAAUAAUAAUAGUUUCUGUGUUAGGGGCACUGACUGUAAUAAAAGUGGUAGACUGUUCAAAGAGUGGCGUUUGACAUAUAUUAGAUUAUAUGCACAUAGUACUGUGUAAAAGUACUGUACAUACUUCAGCCUUUGUUUGUCACAAAACACCGGUCUAUACAGUUAUAUGGGUCAAUUGGAAAUAUACAGAAAUAUACAUUUCAUAGUGUCCAGCACUUUUUUGUAAAUAGUAAAGUAUUCCAAUGAGACAUGUAUGUCCUGUGAAAGACACAAAGUAUCAAAGUAACAAACCACACUGCAGACUUCAAAACUAAAGGCCAUCAACUCUGGAGUGCCAGAAGCCAAUGAUGAGAACAGAGAGGAGAGAGAAUGGAGCCAGUCGAACCUGACCAAGGAGCUGUGAGAACUGUGGUGGAGAAACAUCUAAAGGGAGAACUCCUGACCAAACCCCUGGAUGAGGGGGAACUCUAGGGGGAUCUCCCUUAACCGAAUAUCAUGACCUGGUAAAGGGAAGAAUCCAUUUGAACAUAAUUUUAAAUAGGAAAUAAAAUAAGAAAUACAUUACAAUGUUGACUUGUGCGGCGCAUCGAGGAUAUGACCAAUGGGCAUCCCAAAUCUUUAUUACAAUUUCUGUCUGUUUCAUAUUUUUAGAUCAGUCUUACCAUUGCCACUGAUUUUAUAUUUCUUAACCAAAGGUCUUAUAAAAGUCUAAAU